GAUGAAGAACGUAGCGAAAUGCGAUAAGUAGUGUGAAUUGCAGAAUUCAGUGAAUCAUCGAAUCUUUGAACGCACAUUGCGCCCCUUGGUAUUCCAUGGGGCAUGCCUGUUCGAGCGUCAUUUGUACCUUCAAGCUUUGCUUGGUGUUGGGUGUUUGUCUCGCCUCUGCGUGUAGACUCGCCUUAAAACAAUUGGCAGCCGGCGUAUUGAUUUCGGAGCGCAGUACAUCUCGCGCUUUGCACUCAUAACGACGACGUCCAAAAGUACAUUUUUACACUCUUGACCUCGGAUCAGGUAGGGAUACCCGCUGAACGUAAGCAUAUCAAUAAGCGGAGGA
rnacentral:misc_RNA from 1 species